rnacentral:misc_RNA from 1 species
AAGGAACUUCGUUCUUUAGCGGAGUAAUUCUUAACCCGUGUUUACUUUAUCUUUGUUGCUUUGGCGGGCCGCCCUCGGGCGUCGGCUCCGGCUGGCAGCGCCCGCCAGAGGAUUCAACUCAUUUGUUUAGUGAUGUCUGAGUACUAUAUAAUAGUUA